rnacentral:lncRNA from 1 species
AAUCAGAAGCUGAUCAUCUGUCUCUCAAGAUGCAUUAAAGCUUUACUGCAGAAGGAUCCGAGUGUCCUGUGUCGUUCUUGUUGGCGAGAUGAUCACGCGGGACAUCUGGUGCUGAAACCCGUUAACUUGUUGACAUCGCUGGCACCUCGGAGAGGACGAAGAGAAUCCCCUGUGGAUCCCAGAAAGACUCACCCGAAGAGCCCCUUCGGACCCUCAAAAGUCGGAACUCCACCUUCUCCCCUCAAAUUAGUCGGGAGUUCAAUGAGACCUUCCCAGGCUCUUCCUGGAUUUCAUCAGCAGUUUCUUAUUUUAAGGAAUGGGUGGGGGUGGGACUUUUUGGCACAAUUCUCUGCAGUGGUGUGGUGUUUAUGCUUGGGACUGUGUGUAGACUCAAAACCCAAACAAAAAAGAUAAGGUAGUGGUUGCACAGGCACUCACUGCCCUAGAGAAUGGAAUCUCCCCCUGCAUUUGGCUAAGCAUGUUGAAGCAAUAGGUCGCCGACUGCUCAGCUCCUGCACCUCCGGAGGCUUGACCUCAUUGCACGGAAUAGAGUGUGCAAGGUUCAGCAGGCCAAAAGAGUUACAAGGCUAAGCACUGCACAGAAAAGGCCUGCGGCUUUUCUUGUGGCUCUUCUGGGAGAUAUGUCAUCUUGCAUGAAGGUUAUAUGUCAUAAUGCCCUUCCCCCAGAAAAAGACAUAAGGACGGGUCUGGGCCUGCUCUGGACACAAAGUCUGGAGUCCUGCUCAAGACAAGGUCUGCAUCCAGUUUUGGGGAGUUGACCUCUAUCUCCACUCUGCAUUUGGCUGGCCUAUAGCCUCUGUGUUUCUAUAUAAUUAUAUAGGGGGAGAUGUGAGGAGCCACGCUCACAUUCGCCAUUACAAGAUGGCACUGACAUCCGCUGCCGGAUCAAGUAAACAACGUUGGUGCUCAUGUGCCAAGUGUUUUUCCACUUGCCUAGUCUUGCCUCUCCCAUGGCGUCAUAUAGGGUGAUGAGUCAUCCACCUAUCCCAGCUGUACACGCACUGCUCGGAGCUUAUGAGCCUUUAUAAGGGGAUGGGAUUCUUGGCUCGGGGUCUCCCUAAUCAGAAGCUGAUCAUCUGUCUCUCAAGAUGCAUUAAAGCUUUACUGCAGAAGGAUCUGAGUGUCCUGUGUCAUUCUUGCUGGCAAGAGGAUCGCGCG